AAAAAGUCGGCAAUCUGGUUAUAAAUGGGAACUCUGAAUAGGACGCAUAGGAAUGCAGCGAGAUUAGUUGAGGUGUGUGUGACAGAGUUUUUGAUACCGAGUGAAAAUAUUAAAUAUCUUACUACCUUAGUGCACCCGGAUCGAUGUGAAAACUACAGUAUAUAUCAUGCAUGCUAUUUGUGAUANNNNNNNNNNUACGCAUAGGAAUGCAGCGAGAUUAGUCGAGGUGUGUGUGUGACAGAGUUUUUGGUACCGAGUGAAAAUAUUAAAUAUCUUACUACCUUAGUGCACCUGGAUCGAUGUGAAAACUACAGUAUAUAUCAUGCAUGCUAUUUGUGAUAUGAGAGGAAACUGAAAAGGAGUGAGCACAAAUUGGAAAGAUUGGGCUGAGAACUUAGCUACAAGCAGCAAGUAAUCCUAUAGUUCAUUCUGACCUGCACCGUCUUGUCGUGAUCUAACUUGCGGUUGGAAACGUGGAGUUGAAGUUCUUCUGCAGGAACCUGUACACGUGAUUGAUGACGAAUCGCCUCAACCAGCCCUCACGUGCUUCCCGCCGCUCGCCGUCAGGAUCGCCCUCCCGACCAGGAAGUAUCGUAGUUAGUCAGGAAACUAGAAAUUGUUCUAUCUUGUCUUAUACUUUAAAUUGAUCAUGUAUUCUUGCAUAUAUGAUUACGGGGCUUAAGCAAUACAACAAUUAUUUCAUCAAUCUCUGUUUCCCCUUNNNNNNNNNNCACCUGCACCGUCUUGUCGUGAUCUAGGUUGGAAACGUGGAGUUGAAGUUCUUCUGCAGGAACCUGUACAUGUGAUUGAUGACGAAUCGCCUGAACCAGCCCUCACGUGCUUCCCGCCGCUCGCCGUCAGGAUCGCCCUCCCGACCAGGAAGUAUCGUAAUUAGUCAGGAAACUAGAAAUUGUUCUAUCUUGUCUUAUACUUCAAAUUGAUCAUGUAUUCUUACAUAUAUGAUUAUGGGGCUUAAGCAAUACAACAAUUAUUUCAUCAAUCUCUGUUUCCCCUU
rnacentral:lncRNA from 1 species